rnacentral:rRNA from 1 species
CCUACGGGUGGUGCAGUGGGGAAUAUUGCACAAUGGGCGCAAGCCUGAUGCAGCCAUGCCGCGUGUGUGAAGAAGGCCUUCGGGUUGUAAAGCACUUUCAGCGGGGAGGAAGGCGUUAAGGUUAAUAACCUUGUCGAUUGACGUUACCCGCAGAAGAAGCACCGGCUAACUCCGUGCCAGCAGCCGCGGUAAUACGGAGGGUGCAAGCGUUAAUCGGAAUUACUGGGCGUAAAGCGCACGCGGGCGGUCUGUCAAGUCGGAUGUGAAAUCCCCGGGCUCAACCUGGGAACUGCAUUCGAAACUGGCAGGCUAGAGUCUUGUAGAGGGGGGUAGAAUUCCAGGUGUAGCGGUGAAAUGCGUAGAGAUCUGGAGGAAUACCGGUGGCGAAGGCGGCCCCCUGGACAAAGACUGACGCUCAGGUGCGAAAGCGUGGGGAGCAAACAGGAUUAGAUACCCGAGUAGUC